AGCGAACGCUUCCUUCCUCCCUAACACAUGCAAGUCGAACGAACCUUUCGGGGUUAGUGGCGGACGGGUGAGUAACACGUGGGAACGUGCCUUUAGGUUCGGAAUAACUCAGGGAAACUUGUGCUAAUACCGAAUGUGCCCUUCGGGGGAAAGAUUUAUCGCCUUUAGAGCGGCCCGCGUCUGAUUAGCUAGUUGUUUGAGGUAAUGGCUCACCAAGGCGACGAUCAGUAGCUGGUCUGAGAGGAUGAUCAGCCACAUUGGGACUGAGACACGGCCCAAACUCCUACGGGAGGCAGCAGUGGGGAAUAUUGCGCAAUGGGCGAAAGCCUGACGCAGCCAUGCCGCGUGAAUGAUGAAGGUCUUAGGAUUGUAAAAUUCUUUCACCGGGGACGAUAAUGACGGUACCCGGAGAAGAAGCACCGGCUAACUUCGGG
rnacentral:rRNA from 1 species